rnacentral:rRNA from 1 species
AUUAACGUUGGCAGUGUGCCUAACACAUGCAAGUCGCGCGAUAUAGCGGCAGACGAGAGAGUAAUAACAAGGAACUUACCCCCGAGUGAAGGAUAGCCACCCGAAAGGGUGGGUAACCCUGCAUAGUCCCCUAAUUUAUUAGGGGUAAAGCCGUAAGGCGCUUGGGGAGAGGCCUUGUUCCUAUCAGCUAGUUGGUGAGGUAAUGGCUCACCAAGGCGAUGACGGGUAGCUGGACUGAGAGGUUGACCAGCCUCGAUGGGACUGAGACACGGCCCAUACUCCUACGGGAGGCAGCAGUUGGGAAUUUUGCACAAUGGACGCAAGUCUGAUGCAGCAACACUGCGUGAAGGAUGAAGGUUUUCGGAUCGUAAACUUCUUUUAUCAGGGAAUAAUCUUGAAUGUACCUGAUGAAUAAGCACCGGCUAACUACGU